GACGAACGCUGGCGGCGUGCCUAAUACAUGCAAGUCGAGCGGACCGGAUUGGGGCUUGCCUUGAUUCGGUCAGCGGCGGACGGGUGAGUAACACGUGGGCAACCUGCCCGCAAGACCGGGAUAACUCCGGGAAACCGGAGCUAAUACCGGAUAACACCGAAGACCGCAUGGUCUUCGGUUGAAAGGCGGCCUUUGGGCUGUCACUUGCGGAUGGGCCCGCGGCGCAUUAGCUAGUUGGUGAGGUAACGGCUCACCAAGGCGACGAUGCGUAGCCGGCCUGGAGGGGUGACCGGCCACACUGGGACUGAGACACGGCCCAGACUCCUACGGGAGGCAGCAGUAGGGAAUCUUCCGCCAUGGGCGAAAGCCUGACGGAGCGACGCCGCGGGAGCGAAGAAGGCCUUCGGGUCGUAAAGCUCUGUUGUGAGGGACGAAGGAGCGUCGUUCGAAGAGGGCGGCGCGGUGACGGUACCUCACGAGAAAGCCCCGGCUAACUACGUG
rnacentral:rRNA from 1 species